rnacentral:lncRNA from 1 species
GUUUGUCAAGAAUUAGAAUAUCCAGUAGUGUCUGAGACUAUUUAAAUACAGUGAUUGAUUGGUCCGUUCUGAGAAUAUAUGAUAUAUUCUCAGAAAGGUAUGCAAAUCUUUUAUGCGCUCGCCCACAGAAAAGGUCUUUCGCCAAGAUCGACGCUGCUUAACCGUCCUGAACUGUGUGAACAUGUUUAACGCACGGUAGACAGUAAAACACAGGUUUAAAAAUGCCCAAGAAAUCACAGCUUGAUCAUCGAAAAAGCAAGAACCUGAAGAGCAAACCAAAAUCUAAAGACUCAGGAGAGAUGAACACAGAGAAACUUAUGAGACGAAACAGCAAAGAGGAAUUUGAUGUAAAUUUUUCUCGUGAUCCGGCUGAUGAGUCUCGUUCUGGUCCACAGGAGAAGCUCCAGGAUGAGAAAACAUGAUGUUAACCUCCACUAUGUGACGGGGUUCAGUCUCCAUCCUGGACAACACAGUGUUUACUGUUACACAAACUACUCAAUGGCUGAACUACUGGAUCUGCAUUUGUGUUUCUGUAUCAUUCUCACACACACACACACAUCAGUUCAGAUCAAACGUUAUAAUUUUUCUUAUGCACAUAUAUAAUCGACACGUUUUUCUCUUUCUACUGUACUUUAUUUUAAUGUUUUAUAAUUGUUUUUACAUAUUUUCCUAAUAAACUUUAAAUGAACUUUAAAAUGGAA